AAUAUACGUGAUUUUGAAGGUACUAUGUAAAUUCUAUAUAAGUU
rnacentral:guide_RNA from 1 species